ACAGGUGCUGCAUGGCUGUCGUCAGCUCGUGUUGUGAAAUGUUGGGUUAAGUCCCGCAACGAGCGCAACCCUUAUCCUUUGUUGCCAGCGGUCCGGCCGGGAACUCAAAGGAGACUGCCAGUGAUAAACUGGAGGAAGGUGGGGAUGACGUCAAGUCAUCAUGGCCCUUACGACCAGGGCUACACACGUGCUACAAUGGCGCAUACAAAGAGAAGCGACCUCGCGAGAGCAAGCGGACCUCAUAAAGUGCGUCGUAGUCCGGAUUGGAGUCUGCAACUCGACUCCAUGAAGUCGGAAUCGCUAGUAAUCGUGGAUCAGAAUGCCACGGUGAAUACGUUCCCGGGCCUUGUACACACCGCCCGUCACACCAUGGGAGUGGGUUGCAAAAGAAGUAGGUAGCUUAACCUUCGGGAGGGCGCUUACCACUUUGUGAUUCAUGACUGGGGUGAAGUCGUAACAAGGUAACCGUAGGGGAACCUGCGGUUGGAUCACCUCCUUACCUUAAAGAA
rnacentral:rRNA from 1 species